AACUGGGCCUGAUUGAGAUUAGAACCCAGAAAUAUCAGAACCCUCAAUUUGAACAGAAAUGUGAUCUUUUAUGUUUAGGAUAGUCAAGCGUCUACCAAAGUGCCUGUCCUAUCUCUGGAAGAAGUCUGCAUUUUGUGAUAAAAGUAGAAAACUCAAUCAACCUGUCAUCAGUUACGUAACUUAAAAGUUUCUCCAAAAGAAUCCUUUUCUACUUGGGAAGCACAAACAGCCAAAAGCAGCACUGGGGUUUUGACUGUCAAGGAGAUUAUUUGGACAUUAUGAAAAGGCAAAGAGAGAAACACUUCUGUAACUAUAACAAGACUAAAAAAGAAAAGCAAGAUGCAUUUUUAGAAGAAAUAAGUGGAUGACUCCUUGGACUGCAAGUGAGACUCAGCACAGGCUCAACAAGGAAAGAUGGUUGCUAAAUUACGAAUAAAAAGAGAGAGAUUUGUGGUUGCUUCAGAGAGAAAGUGGGAAGAACAGAAAGAAAAGGGGCAAAAGAAAAAAGCCCACAAGUCUGGGCCCUUCAUGGCGGACAGGCCAGUGAGCGGAAAUCGAGGUGGCAAACACACACGUCAGCGAGGGGAGCUAGAGGAUGAGGAAAACAACUGACAUUUAAAUAACGAACAUAAUAAGUAAUUUCAAUGUCCAGGUGAGUGAACCACAGAAUUACCUGUGUUUUGUCAAUCUGGUCAGAGCUAAGUUUCUAUAGUGAGUAACCACGAUAAUAAAUGCUCUCUCCUAUCCCUGAGCUGUCUAUUUAGAAAGAAUGCUUCAAAACCCUAUCAAGUUAAAUUGCAGGAGAGGAAGCAACUGAGUUCUUCAUUUGUUCCCUGACUUGCUUAUUAUUCAACAAGUAUGGAUUUGGUGUCCAUUGAGGCUGCUCUUUGCUUUGUGACCUUGAGUCAUUUACUGUCUCUGGGCCUUACUUUUAUCAUCUGUAAAAUGAGGGGCUGGAUCAGAUGAUCCUUGAGGUGCCUUCCUGCUCUGGGAUUUUUUUUGCUCUAAAGCUUUAUAGUAAAAAAUUAUUGUAAGUUAAAUGUUUUCUAACUCUGGCAGUUAAAAAAUGUUUAGUAUCCAUUCUAAACAUUUAAAAAUAGUCACCUGAAAAUAAUUCACAGAUACAAGAAAAAGUUCUGAGAAGAUCUUUUUUAAAAAAUUGGCACAUUAUGCUAUUAUGAAAUCCCUAUUUAGUGCUUUUAUAUUUAAAGUUUAAUUGGAACGGAAUCUUAAAUUUUCCAGAUUCUCCUUAUACAAGUUUCUUCUAGCAUGUAAAUCUCAUAGGCCACUUUUAACUUCAACAUCCAAGUGUCCACUCAUUUUAUGCCUGCACUCACAUUGCAUCCACUUUACAACCUGUUUCCCUUCUUUAUCCAACAAAUCCUGCCAGCUAUUCCUUUCUGAGUAAGCUAUCAUCCUAAUUCCUUGUAUCAAUCACUAGGUCCUGAGAUUUUAGAAACAAACUAUGGGAGAGUUUUCUGUGUUGGCCUCUAUUUUUUUCACCAAAGAUUUCUCCCAGCAUAUCAUAGGAAAGGGAGAUUGACUAGGUCACCCUCCUGCUUAAAAAACCUUCAAGGAUUCACUUUUUUUUUUUUUUUUUUUAACCAAAGACUACCUUAACUCCAUGUCCUGGCAUUCAAGGCCAUUCAGAAGUUGACGUACUUGACAACCACAUGCUUGAUAAUCUCCAGCCAAUCCAGAUGGCUAUGCUUCAUGCCAUCAUCCCAGUCUCCCCAUCUCUACCUAGGAACAUCCUAUUGACCAUGAAAAGCUCAGAUCAAGGCCCAUCUUCUUGAUAAUGCCUUUCCUGGCACUCUUUAGGAAUCUCCUUAGCCACAGCUACACAUUCUUGCCACGUUCUCAGCAGCAGAUGGAGAUGUAUUAUUCAGUUUACAAUACUCCUCAACACCUGUACAGUCUCUAGAUGUUGUUUUGCCCAUUCAACUGUGAGUUCUUUGAGGACAAGGGGCCAUGCACCAGUCUCCAGGCCUGAUGCUAUCACAGGAUUGCACAACUUUAAGAGGCACCAUGCCCUUCUAUGUAACAAUACUGACAUUUAUCAUUCAUGUGAUUUUUCAUCCUGAAUGAAUGACAGAACUGCCAGUAGAGAAGUGAUUACUUAUAAAAACAUGAAUUUCUCCCCAACCCCUAAGUAAACAAAUGGUUCCUUCACAUGGACACAGAGAGGGGAACAGCACACACCAGGGCCUGUUGAGGGGUGGAGGAUGAGGGGAGGAAACUUAGAGGAUGGGUCAAUAGGUGCAGCAAACCACCAUGGCAUACGUAUACCUAUAUAACAAACCUGCACGUUCUGCACAUCAUUUAUCACUUUUUUUUAGAAUAAAUAAAGAAAAACAAACAACCAAAUGGUUCCUUUUACAUCUGUGAUUUUGAUUCAAGAAUGCAAACUUGAACUUGUAAAUAAUAAUAAGAAAAUUAUUUGAUUUUAAGAUGAUGGAAUAAAGAAAGCCUCAUUUGAAGGCAGAAUUCUGUGUCAUUCACAAACAUAAGAAGGAGCUGUUAUAAAGGUGUCAAAAAACCUCUAAAUAAGGUGUGGAACAAAAGAUGGUAGAGUGGGAGGAAUCACUUUGGCAGGUUGGCCCUCCCAGAUGGAUGUGCUCUGUGUCCUUAAUUAACAUUUUAUGUGCAGACAGUGAUUUCUAUGAAUGAGAAUUAUUGGCAUAUAAGCCAAACACCCUCUUUUGAAUUGUAAGAUGGUCCAGGGUACAAUGCUACUACACCAGAACACAAGGGAAAAUCCUAAUACUUGCUUCCAUUAAAGAAAGAAGAUCAUGUACAAUGUAUAUUUUAUUUUAUUUUAUUUUAUUUUAUUUUAUUGGAGACAGGAUCUCACUAUGUUCCCCAGGCUGGUCUUGAACUCCUAGGCUCGAGUGAUCCUUCUGCCUUAGCCUUCUGAGUAGCUGGAAUUACAGGCACACCCCACUGCUCCCGGCUAGCACAUUUAAAUAAUUUUGUUUACUUAUAAUUUUCAGUAAAAUUUUCUAGUUUGAGAUGUAACAUAGAAAAACUGUGAUUACCAUAUUUCAUAAGUGGUUAAGAUUAUUCUAGUUGGCAUGUGUAAAGUUUAUUUGUGGAUUCUUCAGGAGGGAAAUAUCCUAGAUAAACAUACUAGAUUUUCACAAUACAAAUAAUGAUACCUGUUUU